rnacentral:rRNA from 1 species
UACGUAGGGGGCAAGCGUUGUCCGGAUUUCUUGGGCGUAAAGAGCGUGUAGGCGGCUUCACAGGUCCGCUGUGAAAACUCGAGGCUCAACCUCGAGCUGUCGGUGGAAACCGUGUGGCUAGAGUCCGGAAGAGGAGAGUGGAAUUCCCGGUGUAGCGGUGAAAUGCGCAGAUAUCGGGAAGAACAACCGUGGCGAAGGCGGCGCUCUGGGACGGUACUGACUCUGAGACGCGAAAGCGUGGGGAGCGAACAGG